rnacentral:lncRNA from 1 species
UGGCAUGUUUGCCCACCUGAAGCCCUCCUCCAUCUCCUCCGCAGCUCUGGAUCUGGUGGUGGGUGUGCUGUACACAGUGGUGCCACCAACAGUGAACCCCCUCAUCUACAGCAUGCGGAACAAGGAGCUCAAGGAGGCGCUGAAGAAACUGAUUCAAGUGGUCCUGGUUCAGCAGCAAUAAGCUGCCCAUCCCUCUUCACAAGUGCUUUCUCAUUUAAUUCAGACAACUCAUGCCUUGGGCAUUCUCACUGGAUAAUCACGUUUGUACAAAAGUGUUUGACUUCAUCCCACUUCUCCAGCAGCACGAACUUCAUCUGUCUGACUCAGAGGCCUUCUGUGAAUGUGUCUAUCACUGUGUCAGAGCUGGCCUGUCUCUAAUAAAAGGGGAUUUCCUCAGUGCAGUGCUUGGAAGUUGGUUUCUUCUUCCACAGCUGGAGCCAAGAAUGUGCUCCAGGACUUUCCCCCUAGAAGGGACUGUUGCUUUUCCAAGGCUCUCCAUGGGCUGAAGGUGAUGAGCUCAUGGGAUGACGUGUUAGGGAAUGGGGGCUGGAUUCAGCUGUCACUUGUGGGUGCCCAGUGCUCCUGGAGGUGCUGAACGGUCAAGCGGUAUCUGCCUGGCACUGUCUCCCAUAUGACAGGGCUGGUGGCAGAUGCCUGCAGUGCAGACCCUGCAGGCAGAUGGAAGGGAGCCUGGAGAGUGGUUCAUGUCACCUUCAAUGGGCUGCAUCUAGGGACACUCCUGAACACAGCCUGAGCCAUUUGAAAUGCCCUGUGGUUGCUCAGAGCAUCAUCCACAGCCACAGAUCCCUUGGUAGGGUGUUGUCAGGUGCAAUGAUGCCUGUCCAGCUGGGUCUGCUUCUCACCCUGACCACCACAUCCAGUGUGGAGCCACACCAUGGCGCCAGGGCACCACAGCCUGCUCACUCUGCACAGCAGCACCACCAGCUCAAGGCCCUGCAGGGAGCACAGGGGAGGGUGCACUGAGUGCCACUCAGCCACAAGUGACAUCACAACCACAAAUUACACACACGUGACCAGCACUGGCCUAUCAAGCACUGAGCCACAAGUACUGCAGCCACAGGACCAGCACUGGCCUAUCAGGCACAGAGACACAAGUGACAUCACAACCACUAACGGCAGCAACAUGAGCAGCAGUGGCCUAUCAGGCACUGAGCCACAAGUGACAUCACAAACACAAACUGCACACACGUGACCAGCACUGGCCUAUCAGGCACUGAGCCACAGGUGACAUCACAAAAAAAAUUCCACCCACAGGACCAGCACUGGCCUAUCAGGCACUGAGCCACAAAUGACCUCACAACCACAAACUGCACUCACAUGACAAGCACUGGCCUGUCAGGCACUGAGCCACAAGUGACCUCACAACCACAAACUGCACCCACAUAACCAGAACUGGCCUAUCAGGCACUCAGCCACAAGUGACAUCACAACCACAAACUCCACCCACAGGAACAGCACUGGCCUAUCAGACACUGAGCCACAAGUGACCUCACAAACACAAACUGCACCCACAUAACCAGCACUGGCCUAUCAGGCACUCAGCCACAAGUGACAUCACAACCACAAACUCCACCCACAGGAACAGCACUGGCCUAUCAGGCACUGAGCCACAAGUGACCUCACAACUACAAACUGCAGCCAUGGGCCUAGCACUGACCUAUCAGGCACUGAGCCACAAGUGACAUCAAAACCACAAACACUAAACAUGUGACCAGCACUGGCCUAUCAGGCACUGAGCC